rnacentral:lncRNA from 1 species
GUUUACAUGGGUAAUAAAAAGUCAGCAAGUUUAUCCAUUGAUCUGUUGACAACGGUUAUUCCUGGGAAGAGUAACAAGCAGAGAUUCGCUUUCUACCUUAUACACAUCUCUGUUUUUUAAUUUAUAACGAGCAUUUUUAUUUUAAUAAUCGGCAAAACCGGUAUAGAUAUUUAUACUUAAAGUAUUUGAAAUAAAACACAAAUAACAGCAAAAAAAUGGUAGGUUGAUAAAAAUGCUGAGUUUUCAAGCUGCUUAUAACCCCCUUUUCCCUCAGAAUAAUCCCGUCGUGGCCCGAGCAUCUCAGCAAGGACCAAUUAUGUUCCUUCAUCCUAUAGCCGGGAGACACUGCGUUCUGCUAGCUCAGUUCAGCUCGAUGAGCCCUUACACUGAACUCGAGCCCGUGGCCCAGGGACCAUUAAUCAUUUCAAAUGCUGGCCUUCAGGAUGUUAUCUGCUCUACAAUCACCUCAUCUCCUCUCCUUCUGGGCUCUGGAAACCAUAGCAUUUGGGGAGAAAACACAGUACCUGUGUCAGCAAAUCUUGUUAGGCUCCCUCCGGUAGCACAUGACCUGGUAAUGUAUAUAUUUAGCUGUUCCAAUAGUGUUCUGAUUUGUGUUAAGAAAAACACAAUGGGGCUGCUGGACGUGUUCUGUAUCCCGGCCUGCAUGAUGAUUAUACAGGUGUAUGCAUUCGAAAAACAUCAUCUAGCUGGAUGCUUAAGUGUCCUUUCACAUGUACUCUCUCUGUUAUUCCUCUACUUAUAAAUUUAAAAGAAAAAUAUCUAUUAAAAGAAAAAGAGAAAUGCACAACCGAGUGAUGCUAAAGUCUCAGGUUUAACACUCCCAGGAACUAAGGGGCCCAGGCUGUGUGUGCACACCUGUAGCCUCUGUGCCUGGACCCCCACCUGCAGGGUGGGGGGUGUGGAGCAGCAAGGUGGACAGAGGUGGGAUUCGGAGGAGGCACAUCUGAAUUUAAAUCUGGACUCUGCUGUUUCUUAAGUCACUCUGGGCAAGUCACCUGGCCUCUCUGAGCCUCAGUUUCCUCACCUGUGAAGCGGGGAUAAUAUUCCCCGCCUUACCCAUUAUGGUGAUCAAAGACAACUCAGGGGAGAGCACCACGCACGUAGCAGACACACACUAAAUGGCAGCGCUGGUCACUGUGUAAGAGCUGGUCCCCGGGAGACUGCCUCUCCUGCUCACCUGUCCUUCCCUUAGCUUGACACACCCAACAUCUGAAAUGAACUUCCACAUGACUUAGCACCAAAUUUACCCCCUCCAUCUCCUCUCAGGCACUCCAGAGUUUUCUGGUCCCUAUUCCAAUGCAGAAGUCCUGCUUACAGCCCUUGACCUGUCCCCUGCUCAUGCAAGAGUGGGUCAGCCCUUUCUUCUGUCCAUCCUGCCUGAGCACUGCCCCCCGCCACCUCCCCCCAUGCUCAGUGCCCCCAGCAGCAGCCCCCACCACACCAACCAUGGCCCCCACCCUACC